rfam:Picea glauca, whole genome shotgun sequence.
ACAUGCCUACAACAUAGAGUUAAUGCACCAUAUCCCAUUAGAACUCCGCAGUUAAGCGCACUCAAGAUAGAUUAGUACUGGGAUGGGUGACCACUUGGGAAGUCCUAAUGUUUUACAUGCC